rnacentral:rRNA from 1 species
GACGAACGCUGGCGGCGUGCCUAAUACAUGCAAGUCGAACGCUUCUUUCCUCCCGAGUGCUUGCACUCCAUUGGAAAGAGGAGUGGCGGACGGGUGAGUAACACGUGGGUAACCUACCCAUCAGAGGGGGAUGACACUUGGAAACAGGUGCUAAUACCGCAUAACAGUUUAUGCCGCAUGGCAUAAGAGUGAAAGGCGCUUUCGGGUGUCGCUGAUGGAUGGACCCGCGGUGCAUUAGCUAGUUGGUGAGGUAACGGCUCACCAAGGCCACGAUGCAUAGCCGACCUGAGAGGGUGAUCGGCCACACUGGGACUGAGACACGGCCCAGACUCCUACGGGAGGCAGCAGUAGGGAAUCUUCGGCAAAGGACGAAAGUCUGACCGAGCAACGCCGCGUGAGUGAAGAAGGUUUUCGGAUCGUAAAACUCUGUUGUUAGAGAAGAACAAGGACGUUAGUAACUGAACGUCCCCUGACGGUAUCUAACCAGAAAGCCACGGCUAACUACGUG